rnacentral:rRNA from 1 species
AUUGAACGCUGGCGGCAUGCCUUACACAUGCAAGUCGAACGGCAGCACGGGAGCAAUCCUGGUGGCGAGUGGCGAACGGGUGAGUAAAGUAUCGGAACGUGCCCAGUCGUGGGGGAUAACGUAGCGAAAGUUACGCUAAUACCGCAUACGAUCUAUGGAUUAAAGCGGGGGCACGCAAGACCUCGCGCGAUUUGACCGGCCGAUAUCAGAUUAGGUAGUUGGUGGGGUAAAGGCUCACCAAGCCGACGAUCUGUAGCUGGUCUGAGAGGACGACCAGCCACACUGGGACUGAGACACGGCCCAGACUCCUACGGGAGGCAGCAGUGGGGAAUUUUGGACAAUGGGCGAAAGCCUGAUCCAGCCAUGCCGCGUGCAGGAUGAAGGCCUUCGGGUUGUAAACUGCUUUUGUACGGAACGAAAAGGUUUGGCCUAAUAAGCUGAGCUCAUGACGGUACCGUAAGAAUAAGCACCGGCUAACUACGUGCCAGCCGCCGCCGUAA